GACCCGUGAUCCGGGUUGCGGACAGUGUCUGGUGGGUAGUUUGACUGGGGCGGUCUCCUCCUAAAGAGUAACGGAGGAGCACGAAGGUUGGCUAAUCCUGGUCGGACAUCAGGAGGUUAGUGCAAUGGCAUAAGCCAGCUUGACUGCGAGCGUGACGGCGCGAGCAGGUGCGAAAGCAGGUCAUAGUGAUCCGGUGGUUCUGAAUGGAAGGGCCAUCGCUCAACGGAUAAAAGGUACUCCGGGGAUAACAGGCUGAUACCGCCCAAGAGUUCAUAUCGACGGCGGUGUUUGGCACCUCGAUGUCGGCUCAUCACAUCCUGGGGCUGAAGUAGGUCCCAAGGGUAUGGCUGUUCGCCAUUUAAAGUGGUACGCGAGCUGGGUUUAGAACGUCGUGAGACAGUUCGGUCCCUAUCUGUCGUGGGCGCUGGAGAACUGAGGGGGGCUGCUCCUAGUACGAGAGGACCGGAGUGGACGCAUCACUGGUGUUCGGGUUGUCAUGCCAAUGGCACUGCCCGGUAGCUAAAUGCGGAAGAGAUAAGUGCUGAAAGCAUCUAAGCACGAAACUUGCCCCGAGAUGAGUUCUCCCUGACCCUUUAAGGGUCCUGAAGGAACGUUGAAGACGACGACGUUGAUAGGCCGGGUGUGUAAGCGCAGCGAUGCGUUGAGCUAACCGGUACUAAUGAACCGUGAGGCUUAACCUUACAACGCCGAAGGUGUUU
rnacentral:rRNA from 1 species